GCGAUGGUGGUGUAGUGGUGAACAUAGCUGCCUUCUAAGCAGUUGACCUGGGUUCGAUUCCCAGCCAUCGCA